rnacentral:lncRNA from 1 species
GCUUAUGAACACUACAUCAAUUCAACAAAACUUGGGCAUCAAAACCCCAAACCAAAUGAAGAUUGGGCCUGACUACCAAAACAAACAUAAAUAUGAAACCCUAGAACCAGAAUGCUAAUGUUAAACGUCAUUACUUGUACAUUAAUUGGACAAAAGAUGAGAAUCAAAGACAAAUUGGUCAAUCAAGCAAGAAAAAGAUUGCACAACAAGAGACUUGCCUACUGAUGAUUGUAUGAGGUA